rnacentral:tRNA from 1 species
UGCCGGCCCGGUGCGUCGGCGGUGCGCUGGUGGGCUCGACGCCGGCCCGGUGCGUCGGCGGUGCGCUGGCCGGUUCGACGCCGGCCCGGUGC